GACGAACGCUGGCGGCGUGCCUAAUACAUGCAAGUAGAACGCUUAAGGAGGAGCUUGCUUCUCCGGAUGAGUUGCGAACGGGUGAGUAACGCGUAGGUAACCUGGCUGGUAGCGGGGGAUAACUAUUGGAAACGAUAGCUAAUACCGCAUAAGAGUAGAUGUUGCAUGACAUUUUCUUAAAAGGUGCAAUUGCAUCACUACCAGAUGGACCUGCGUUGUAUUAGCUAGUUGGGGGGGUAACGGCUCAACAAGGCGACGAUACAUAGCCGACCUUAGAGGGGGAACGGGCACCAUGGGACUGAGACACGGCCCAGACUCCUUAGGGGGGCAGCAGGAGGGAAACUUUGGCAAUGGAGGGAAGGCUGAACGAGCAACGCCGCGGGAGUGAAGAAGGUUUUCGGAUCGGAAAGCUCUGUUGUAAGGGAAGAACGGGUGUGAGAGUGGAAAGUUCACAUUGUGACGGUAUCUUACCAGAAAGAGACGGCUAACUACGUG
rnacentral:rRNA from 1 species